UACAGAGGUCUCAAGCGUUGUUCGGAUUCAUUGGGCGUAAAGGGUGCGUAGGCGGCGCGGUAAGUCGGAUGUGAAAUCUCAGGGCUCAACCCUGAAACUGCAUUCGAUACUGCGUGGCUAGAGUGCUGGAGAGGAGACUGGAAUUUACGGUGUAGCAGUGAAAUGCGUAGAUAUCGUAAGGAAGACCAGUGGCGAAGGCGAGUCUCUGGACAGCAACUGACGCUGAGGCACGAAGGCCAGGGGAGCAAACGGG
rnacentral:rRNA from 1 species